GAGGGUAUAGCUCAGUGGUAGAGCGCAUGCUUAGCAUGCCCAAGGUCUUGGAUUCAAUCCCCAGUACCUCCA
rnacentral:tRNA from 1 species